CAAGACUUAAAAAUAUACCGAAUAAUAAAAUCAACCGAUUAAAAUUUAAAGAAUAUGGCGGUGUUUUUAUAUAAUCAGGGGAACCUGUUUCUUAAUUCGAUAAUCCACGUAAAUUCAACCUCUUUUAGAUAUUCAGUUUGUGUACUGCUGUCACCAGUAAACCUAUAAAAGCAAGUUUACAAUAAAUACUAACUAUUUUACGUCAAGUCAAAGUGCAACUAAUAAAGAGGAGACAAUGGGUUACAACCUUAAUAAAGAUUUACAAAUAAGCAAAACAAAAAUGCUUUGAAGGUGGACUUGAAAGUAAUAUUCAUAACAAACUACAUAUAAAAAUUUCUAAAACAUGUACACAUCGCCCGUCACUCUCAUCUAAAGACG
rnacentral:rRNA from 1 species